rnacentral:rRNA from 1 species
AAAAGACCUUCUUCGGAGGGUAUGCUUAAAGAGGGGCUUGCGUCACAUUAGUUAGUUGGUAGGGUAAUGGCCUACCAAGACGAUGAUGUGUAGCUGGACUGAGAGGUUGAACAGCCACAUUGGGACUGAGACACGGCCCAAACUCCUACGGGAGGCAGCAGUAGGGAAUUUUCGGCAAUGGAGGAAACUCUGACCGAGCAACGCCGCGUGAACGACGAAGUACUUCGGUAUGUAAAGUUCUUUUAUUGAAGAAGAAACAAUAGUGGAAAAACUAUCUUGACGUUAUUCAAUGAAUAAGCCCCGGCUAACUAUGUGCCAGCAGCCGCGGUAAUACAUAGGGGGCGAGCGUUAUCCGGAAUUAUUGGGCGUAAAGGGUGCGUAGGCGGUUUAAUAAGUCUCUAGUUUAAUUUCAACGCUUAACGUUGUCCUGCUAGAGAAACUGUUUGACUAGAGUGAGAUAGAGGUAAGCGGAAUUCCAUGUGUAGCGGUAAAAUGUGUAAAUAUAUGGAGGAACACCAGAGGCGUAGGCGGCUUACUGGGUCUUUACUGACGCUGAUGCACGAAAGCGUGGGGAGCAAACAGGAUUAGAUACCCUGGUAGUCCACGCCGUAAACUAUGAGUACUAAGUGUCGGGGUUAAACUCGGUACUGAAGUUAACACAUUAAGUACUCCGCCUGAGUAGUACGUACGCAAGUAUGAAACUUAAAGGAAUUGACGGGAUCCCGCACAAGCGGUGGAUCAUGUUGUUUAAUUCGAAGAUACACGAAAAACCUUACCAGGUCUUGACAUACUCUGCAAAACUAUAGAAAUAUAGUGGAGGUUAUCAGGGAUACAGGUGGUGCAUGGUUGUCGUCAGCUCGUGUCGUGAGAUGUUAGGUUAAGUUCUAAAACGAGCGCAACCCCUGUCGUUAAUUGCCAGCACGUUAUGGUGGGGACUUUAGCGAGACUGCCAAUGAAAAAUUGGAGGAAGGUGGGGAUUACGUCAAAUCAUCAUGCCCCUUAUGAUCUGGGCUACAAACGUGAUACAAUGGCUAUUACAAAGAGUGGCUUAAACGCGAGUUUUUGGCAAAUCUCAAAAAAAUAGUCUUAGUUCGGAUUGAAGUCUGCAACUCGACUUCAUGAAGUUGGAAUCGCUAGUAAUCGCGAAUCAGCA